rnacentral:rRNA from 1 species
UACGAAGGGGAGCUAGCGUUGUUCGGAAUCACUGGGCGUAAAGCGCACGUAGGCGGAUUUGAUAAGUCAGGGGGUGAAAUCCCGGGGCUCAACCUCGGAAUUGCCUUCGAUACUGUCUGUCUUGAGUCCGGGAGAGGUGAGUGGAAUUCCUAGUGUAGAGGUGAAAUUCGUAGAUAUUAGGAAGAACACCUAUGGCGAAGGCAGCUCUCUGGGACGGUACUGACGCUGAGACGCGAAAGCGUGGGGAGCGAACAGG